rnacentral:misc_RNA from 1 species
UUUUAUGUAUGUUACAUCAGAACUUUUGACCGGGUGAACCGAUUUCGACAAAUUUUGUUUUAAUCGAAAGGUGGUGUGUGUCAAUUGGUCCCAUUUAAAUUUAUUUGAGAUCUAACAAUUACUUUUCGAGUUAUAUCUAAUAAUGCGUUUUUACUUGACGCUUUUUUCGUCGACCUACGUUGUAUUAUACCGCAUAACUUUCUACUGAAU